rnacentral:rRNA from 1 species
AUACAAUGGAGAGUUUGAUCCUGGCUCAGGAUGAACGCUAGCGGGAGGCCUAACACAUGCAAGCCGAGCGGUAGAUUGCUUUCGGGCAAUUGAGAGCGGCGUACGGGUGCGGAACACGUGUGCAACCUGCCUUUAUCUGGGGGAUAGCCUUUCGAAAGGAAGAUUAAUACCCCAUAAUAUAAGAGACGGCAUCGUUUUUUAUUGAAAACUCCGGUGGAUAGAGAUGGGCACGCGCAAGAUUAGAUAGUUGGUGAGGUAACGGCUCACCAAGUCGACGAUCUUUAGGGGGCCUGAGAGGGUGAUCCCCCACACUGGUACUGAGACACGGACCAGACUCCUACGGGAGGCAGCAGUGAGGAAUAUUGGACAAUGGGUGAAAGCCUGAUCCAGCCAUCCCGCGUGAAGGACGACGGCCCUAUGGGUUGUAAACUUCUUUUGUAUAGGGAUAAACCUUUCCACGUGUGGAAAGCUGAAGGUACUAUACGAAUAAGCACCGGCUAACUCCGUGCCAGCAGCCGCGGUAAUACGGAGGGUGCAAGCGUUAUCCGGAUUUAUUGGGUUUAAAGGGUCCGUAGGCUGAUUUGUAAGUCAGUGGUGAAAUCUCACAGCUUAACUGUGAAACUGCCAUUGAUACUGCAAGUCUUGAGUGUUGUUGAAGUAGCUGGAAUAAGUAGUGUAGCGGUGAAAUGCAUAGAUAUUACUUAGAACACCAAUUGCGAAGGCAGGUUACUAAGCAACAACUGACGCUGAUGGACGAAAGCGUGGGGAGCGAACAGGAUUAGAUACCCUGGUAGUCCACGCCGUAAACGAUGCUAACUCGUUUUUGGGGCGCAAGCUUCAGAGACUAAGCGAAAGUGAUAAGUUAGCCACCUGGGGAGUACGAACGCAAGUUUGAAACUCAAAGGAAUUGACGGGGGCCCGCACAAGCGGUGGAUUAUGUGGUUUAAUUCGAUGAUACGCGAGGAACCUUACCAAGGCUUAAAUGGGAAAUGACAGGCUUAGAAAUAGGCUUUUCUUCGGACAUUUUUCAAGGUGCUGCAUGGUUGUCGUCAGCUCGUGCCGUGAGGUGUUAGGUUAAGUCCUGCAACGAGCGCAACCCCUGUCACUAGUUGCCAUCAUUAAGUUGGGGACUCUAGUGAGACUGCCUACGCAAGUAGAGAGGAAGGUGGGGAUGACGUCAAAUCAUCACGGCCCUUACGCCUUGGGCCACACACGUAAUACAAUGGCCGGUACAGAGGGCAGCUACACAGCGAUGUGAUGCAAAUCUCGAAAGCCGGUCUCAGUUCGGAUUGGAGUCUGCAACUCGACUCUAUGAAGCUGGAAUCGCUAGUAAUCGCGCAUCAGCCAUGGCGCGGUGAAUACGUUCCCGGGCCUUGUACACACCGCCCGUCAAGCCAUGGAAGUCUGGGGUACCUGAAGUCGGUGACCGUAAAAGGAGCUGCCUAGGGUAAAACAGGUAACUAGGGCUAAGUCGUAACAAGGUAGCCGUACCGGAAGGUGCGGCUGGAACAUCUCAUUUUAGA